GAUGAACGCUGGCGGCGUGCCUAAUACAUGCCAGUCGAGCGAACGGACGAGAAGCUUGCUUCUCUGAUGUUAGCGGCGGACGGGUGAGUAACACGUGGAUAACCUACCUAUAAGACUGGGAUAACUUCGGGAAACCGGAGCUAAUACCGGAUGAUAUUUUGAACCGCAUGGUUCAAAAGUGAAAGACGGUCUUGCUGUCACUUAUAGAUGGAUCCGCGCUGCAUUAGCUAGUUGGUAAGGUAACGGCUUACCAAGGCAACGAUGCAUAGCCGACCUGAGAGGGUGAUGGGCCACACUGGAACUGAGACACGGUCCAGACUCCUACGGGAGGCAGCAGUAGGGAAUCUUCCGCAAUGGGCGAAAGCCUGACGGAGCAACGCAGCGUGAGUGAUGAAGGUCUUCGGAUCGUAAAACUCUGUUAUUAGGGAAGAACAUAUGUGUAAGUAACUGUGCACAUCUUGACGGUACCUAAUCAGAAAGCCACGGCUAACUACGUG
rnacentral:rRNA from 1 species